rnacentral:lncRNA from 1 species
AGAGAUCGUUGCUGCAAUUUUCCUUUAAUUUUUUUUCAAGAACAGAGCCCUUCGUAUUAUUCCAUAGUCAUUUCUAUCCGAAUGAAGUUGGCUCAAGAAAAUUUCCAAUUAUGGACGUGACAGAGAAAUUAAAGCUACUCACCGGGUUUUGCUGAAUUCUUCAAGCCCUGUUGCUUUUCGUCUUCCGUAGCACAUUUAAUUUUAUUCUGUCGAGGUAGACUGGGAAAAGCAGCUCACCGUCUUUGAUUGGUGGUGUAAGUAAAUCUGGAAGGCCACUUUAAUUGCUUUUAUACAUUGUGUCUAAAUGGGAUGAUGAAAAUUAAGAGGGAGUGCAAGGUAACUCAUGGUCUGUGUGUAAAUAUAGGUCUUUCUACUAUGGAUUCUUGUUAAAUUGUAUAAUUUUUGUUGUCUUUCUUCCCCUUCUUCUUGGUUUUACUCAACAAAUCGAAAUGGAUAAUGUAUGUGAUUUUAAAUUUUGUGAGAUUUAAAGUUGUCUAUUAUUAACUAUUUUUUUCUAGGGUGUAUGGAUGAUACUUGAAGCUACUAGUUUAUUCGCGG